rnacentral:rRNA from 1 species
AGAGUUUGAUCCGGGCUCAGGACGAACGCUGGCGGCGUGCUUAAUACAUGCAAGUCGAGCGAGGUUACUGUUUUGGAUCCCUUCGGGGUGAAGAAGCUUUAACCUAGCGGCGGACGGGUGAGUAACGCGUGGGUAACCUACCCCAAAGUCCGGGAUAACAGCGGGAAACCGCUGCUAAUACCGGAUGCCUUUACCUUGGGGCAUCUUGAGGUAAAGAAAGGUAACGCUUUGGGAUGGGCCCGCGUCCCAUUAGCUAGUUGGUGAGGUAAUGGCUUACCAAGGCGACGAUCAGUAGCCGACCUGAGAGGGUGAUCGGCCACAUUGGAACUGAGACACGGUCCAAACUCCUACGGGAGGCAGCAGUGGGGAAUAUUGCACAAUGGGCGAAAGCCUGAUGCAGCAACGCCGCGUGAGCGAUGAAGGCCUUCGGGUCGUAAAGCUCUGUCCUCAAGGAAGAUAAUGACGGUACUUGAGGAGGAAGCCCCGGCUAACUACGUGCCAGCAGCCGCGGUAAU